UACGUAGGGUGCGAGCGUUGUCCGGAAUUACUGGGCGUAAAGAGCUCGUAGGUGGUUUGUCGCGUUGUUCGUGAAAACUCACAGCUCAACUGUGGGCGUGCGGGCGAUACGGGCAGACUGGAGUACUGCAGGGGAGACUGGAAUUCCUGGUGUAGCGGUGGAAUGCGCAGAUAUCAGGAGGAACACCCGUGGCGAAGGCGGUUCUCUGGGACGGUACUGACGCUGAGACGCGAAAGCGUGGGGAGCAAACAGG
rnacentral:rRNA from 1 species